rnacentral:tRNA from 1 species
CGGGGUGUGGCGUAGUUUGGAAGCGCGCUUGGUUUGGGACCAAGAGGUCGGGAGUUCAAAUCUCCCCACCCCGACCA